GAGAACAUUUUAGAGAGCGCCCUUUCUCUUUAGUCUCCAUUUUCUGCAAUCAGGAUAAUGCAGUGCAUUUCAGAGCCAUUUUCAUUUUUGAAGUGCUCUUUCAUCAUUAGCUAAUAAAUGCUCAUCAAUGAAUUUUCCCUCGGCGUCUUGAAAGUUGGAGGAGAAAGAAAAUCGCUUUCUAUUUCGCCCUCCAUCCCCUCCAAUCCUGGCAUCCACCGUCAUUCUGCUUUCAGCUUCUGAGUUCAUCAAGUGACUGUCAACUCGAGUAACACUGAGAUCUGGACAGGCAACAUGAUUCCAGAGAACAGCCUUUCUUUGACCCCUUCAUCCCCCCGAGAACUCAUGCUUGGCUUCCCAGUCCUCUGUCUCCGGUGAAAAACAUGGAGGAUUUGAACAGCAUGUUGCAUUGUUGACUGUCACUGUGUGCCUUGUCUCCAACCAAGGCGAUGAUUUGAGAUGGGGCCAGCCUUCAUCAGCGUCCUCCUCUUUCUAAACCUCAUUCCUUACGCCGAAUACCCUAGAAAAGUAGGGUAACAAAUUUGGCACUUCGGCUGGACUAGGAGGCAAAGGACAAUGGCAGCCCUGGCUUGACCGUCUGAUUUGGAUUUCAAGGGUGUUUGUUCUGAAAUUCCAACAAAAUGACUAAUUUGACUAGACCUGUGGUGAUCGAAGAUGCUGGUGUUCCCCAUCCUGCUGUUCUCACUUCUCCAGGACCGAGGCCCCGUGGAGGGAACCAAGAUCCUAGACCAUCCCUUAGACAUGAACUGGUUCAUACCUUGCCAGCUGCAUCUCCCUUGCUUCUUCCAGGACAGAGUGGGUUGAAAGAGCCAGCAGGAACUGAAAAGCAUUGUAAACUAAGGAGGAAAAGUAACAAAGAGCUUGAAGACUUUCAUGGAGCCCAGGCCCUGGACGGAGGCAGGCGACAUCAGAGAACCAAGAAAGCUGAGGGGCAGCCAGGAGGCACCUGUGGCUGCAGAGCCCAGACGCGGGCAAAUGGCUUGAAGAUGCUGCUGGCCUAGCAAGAUGGCAACAGCUUUGAAAAAUAGGAUUCAUAAGAAGUUCUUUUUUUCCAGUUGUGUUGAUGUUCCUUUCAGCCAAUCCUAUAGUCCCCCCAUCUCAGGAAUGUCUCCCCAGUGACAGGACACAGACUGCAGAGACCGCUGUACUGGUGGACGCUCAAGCCAACUGUGAAGUUGAAACAAAGGAAUCAGGACUCGGUCACCUGAAGACACCUCUUCUGCUAAGCGACACACCCACAUGAUGCAGUUCAGCCAGUAGACUCUCAGAACAAGAGGCAAUCUUUGCAAGAAACAGGAACACUUGAGAAUGACUUCUAGAUUUCUGACUUCCCUUCCUCGUGUGUAUUCCUCUGUUUGUAUUUCAAUUCUGUGUGACAUUCAUCUUUAAAAAAGUGUUUUCUGAUAUGAAUAUGCUUAUCAACACACCCAAUUUUUAAAAUAGAAAAUUUCACACACAUGCUAAUGUUUUAAGGAACAAAAUUCAUGCUAUGAAUUUUAGCCACAUACAAGGUUUGACCUUAAGAGUGACUUAAACAAUAGGAUAUAAAGUUAUUUUGAAACAGCGGAGUCGUCGGAGGUAACUCAAAGGAUAGAAUAACGGUGGUAACUCAGAAUGCAGCGUGGAAAGGCAUUACCCUGUGACACCACCAAUCUACCAUGCUUUCUGUCAGGCAAGCUAGGUUCUGCCUCUGCAGAGUUUAAGUUUAGUUAGGCAGAGGUAUGUACGCUUUUGACAAGAUAAGUAACAAAUCAAGUCAAUAGACAAUAACAGUAAAACCAAAGCAAGACAAAAGAUGUAUGAACAAGGAGCUCAGAGGUGGUCACGUUAAACUGGGCAAACUGGUCCGUUUAGGGAAGAAAGUUCGCAAAGGAGGAGGAAAUGAAUCUUAAAAGAUGUUAAAGAUUUCGAUAAAUGGAAAAGAAGGAGAAAAUCGAGUCCUUUAGAUGGAUGUGGUGUUGUGAGCAAAGUCCGGGAAGACUACAUGUAAUUUUAGGGAAUUAUGAUCACACAUGUCUAGUUGCCUUCACCCCAGACUUUCAGUGCCAGUGUGUGUGUAUGUACAUACGUGGUAAAGACUUCAUGGACACAUUGUCCCUCUCCCGCUUCAGAUGUCGCCUAGAAUCAUAAUUGUAUUUCUUCCAUUAAAGCACGUGAGAGUGGCGAUAACAGGAGGAUUUGUGAUUUUUCUCUUGGCCUGAUAACAAUGGAUGUUUAUUGAGUUCUCACUACAUUUUGAGUAUUUUAUACAUUAACUCUCUGAAGCCUCACAACAAUCCUGCAAAAUUUAUCCCCAUUUUACACUAAGAAAACUGAGGUUUAAUGAGGUUAAGUAACUUGCCAAACCACCACAUCCAGGUGUCACAAUCAGAUUUGCCAUCGCAAAGCUCAUGAUCUAAAGCACUAAGUCAAAAUACUACGACCAACAUCACAAUAUGACCACUUCUCUAGUCCUUGAGAUUUUUCUGUGGUAAAUGGUAACAAUUAUCUUCUCAAAUUUUUCAGUUUUCUGGUUAAAUUACACUAAAGUGAUGGAACGUAUUUUUAUCAUGACAGAAAUUGGAGGGGAAAUGGGGUUUAUCAGCAUUUUAGGCUGCUUUGGUGGGUGUCCAGCCUUUGAUGGGACUAUUCAUUUUGGUGAGCAUGAACUCUCCACUUCUUGAGAAUGAAAAUAGAAAGUGAGGGGAGCCUAAAGGUCAUCUAUACAAUGUCCUUUUCUACAGGUGUUGUCAAUCCAUGAAGUUAGAGUGACUUACAGAAGAUCCCACAUUUGCGUGUAGCAAAGCAAGGUCCAGAAACCAUGCCCUCAGCGGCUCUUAAAUAAACAACUGCAUCCUGCCUAAAAGAAAUGUGAGCUUGAAUUUGAUCAAUGACAACAUUCCAUCUGGGUGAUCAGGGGCGGCAUGGAACCUAGUAGACUGCUCAGUUUUGCACCUCUCUGGCUUCUCACCUCAGCGUGAAAAAUAGCUAUAGCUCUGGGCUGACAUCUUUAGAUGCAGGAAUUGUCAGUGGUCCAUCCACACAGAACAUACAAUGGCCCAAGUUAUGUGUACAGUGUCUUCAAUGAUUUGGAAUUCUCAGUUCACCUAAACAGAUCUUCUCAUGAGCAUUUCCUGAACCAAUUUUAUGCACAGUAUAUAUUAGAGCUUCCACAUCAAGAUUUAAACACGACUGUUUCGCUAGUUCUUAUGUUUUUGACGGUAUCAGUGGUUCUUUGCUAUUUUAACCUUCACUUAUCCAGGUGACUAACUCAAGAAUACUUCAGCAAUAAAAAGCUGGAAUUGAGGAAACCUUAUUCUUUACCAGCCCCUUCGCCUUCAGUUGGCAUUCAGUCAUGCCAAAUAGAGGGGUCAGCUGGAGAACUCAAAUUUGAAAUGCAAUUUUGUCUGAAGUCCGUUAAGCUGUGUUUACUUAAGGGCAAGCUUCUAGAUGUUUGAAAGUACCUGAAUAUUUAACUGUUGUAAAUUUCCAGUUAGAUAUCUGGCAUUGUUGCACUUGGACCUGCUGGUGGCUCAGGUCAUCCUAUUUUCAAAAUGAUCAUUGGCCAUGUGUCACACAAUUCUCAUUAAGUGAGUUCAUAGAGUUUUUUAAGUCGAGCCAAGCACAAAAUGUGACUUUGUUGACAUUUUAUGAGACUUUGUCAUAUGUCCCCUGAACCCCCCAAUAAAAGCACUGUUGCAUCAACUGUGAA
rnacentral:lncRNA from 9 species